UUUUUCACAUAAAAUAAUUAAGCCCCCGUUUGGUUCUCAUUCUUUGGCCAUAAAAAUGAAAAAUAUGACCAUUAUCCAUCAUAUCAAACCACCAUAUUUGACUUUCUAUCUCUUGUGUAGGUCCCGAAACGACUAUAUUUUUUAUUCUCAUUCUUACAAAAAUGGGUACCAAAUGGGGCCUAAAUAAAAAACCAAAAAAAUAAAAGAAAUUAUCCAAUCC
rnacentral:lncRNA from 1 species